UGUGACGUCAAAAUAAUUGAUUUUUUGGGUUUUUAUUACAAAAGAGUUCUACAUCAUGUCAGCCUCCAGUAAAUACGAUUUCUCCAACUUCAAACGUUCAUUAAAGCUUAAUUACGUAUUUUAUUUUCAAAACAGCAUGACCACAUGUGAUAAUUUACACCACUUUAUUAAAAUAAAUAAAUAAUUUUUUUUACUUUCCUUCCCCUUUAACAACUGAGCUAUGAUGAUAUUCAACCAAAUUGAUUGAUACAAAGAAUUAAACACUACAUUUAAAUCCCCAUCUUGUGACGUGGUGUCUUAUAGUAUUUAAGUCUUCAUGUAGCGAGUUAUCCUAAUAGGAUUUUUACAAUGACCACUUUGAAUUGUUUAUUUAUUUCCACCAGAUAAGUGAAUCAUUCCUUCUAAUCAUUACUGACAUUUUGUACUUGUAUAAACAUGAGGAGAUACAAUGUACAAAGGGUUCAUAUAUAUAUUUGGUAAAAAUCUUUUUGUUUACAUUUGCAGGAGAAUGAGGCGUUUGGCCAACACAGCGCCAUCAUGGUAGCCUUUCAUGACAUCAACUCGCUCAUCAAAUCCUGCAUUUCCAUUUAUUGUUCCCUCUUGGAAAAUUUGAAAAAGCAAAUUCUUGUCAUAUUAGCAUGACGUACAGUUGGCAUAGGUGCAAAUGGAAAUGACAUUCCUGCAUUUGGCAUAUUUUACAUGUCAUCCGUGGUGUGUGUGUGUGUGUGUCUGGGAAAGAGAUUAUGUUGUGUAAAUGUAGAUAUUGAGAGAGAAUAAAAAUUAAAUGUUUAAAACAC
rnacentral:misc_RNA from 1 species